GGGGAUGUAGCUCAGUUGGUAGAGUGCUUGCCUUGCAUGCACAAAGCCCUGGGUUCAAUUCCCAGCACCCCCC
rnacentral:tRNA from 1 species